CGGUGCCCUUCCUCCCUGAGUGCUGGGCACGGGUGAGGAGCGGUGCGGAUGCUCUUCCUACCUUCAGCCUCCACAAAGGAUAUGGGCCAGAGACUCAGCACGGCUGCCAGCUGCUUCUAGAGCGCCCCGGUCAUUAGUCUGGACGCACAACAUCCUUUUGCCAGAGUCCAGGGCUGGAGCUGGCGUGUCCACCUGCCGCCCCCCGCAUGGAGACUCAGACCUCUUCUCCAGAGAAGAUGACCUGUCCUGGCUCCUGCGAAGCCCCCCUCUGGCAGGCUGCUGACACAGGACAAGCAUUUCCACACCUCUGUCUCCCUAUUCCUGUGACGGGGACCCU